UACGGGGGGAGCAAGCGUUGUUCGGAUUUACUGGGCGUAAAGGGCGCGUAGGCGGUAGCACAAGUCAGUUGUGAAAUCUCCGGGCUUAACUCGGAAAGGUCAACUGAUACUGUGCGACUAGAGUGCAGAAGGGGCAACUGGAAUUCUCGGUGUAGCGGUGAAAUGCGUAGAUAUCGGGAGGAACACCUAUGGCGAAGGCAGCUCGCUGGGACGUUACUGACGCUGAGACGCGAAAGCGUGGGAGCAAACAGG
rnacentral:rRNA from 1 species